rnacentral:lncRNA from 1 species
GUGCUGAAUAAUAUUCAAUUUUCUAGAUAUAUGUUAGUUUAUGCAUGCAUUCAUCUCCAGAGAGGUAUAUUGGUAGCUCCCACUCUGGGCCAUUAAGAAUAAAGAUGCAAUACACAUCCAGUGCAGGUUUUGGUUUACACAUAUGUUUUCAAGCACUCUGGGUAAACAUCAAGAAGGGAAAUUGCUGGAUCACAUGGAAAGAGCAUGUAAGAAGCUGCCAAACAGUUUUGCAAAUACAGAUACUUUUGUAUUUUCAUCAGCACGAAUUAAUUUCUAUUCUUUAAUUUAUCCACACAUGCUAGCAAGUGCUCUACCACUCAGCUGCAAUUUCAGCCCCAUAUACUUAUUUUCUAUUUCUAUGUAUUCUUUAAUGGGUUGUUUUUUAUGGUUGAAUCUAGAAGAUUCUUUGCAUAUUUUGGAUAACAGACCUUUAUCAGAUGUGUGUUUUGCAAUGUUUCCCCAAACUAUGACUUGUCCUCUUAUUUUUUUGGCACUGCUUUUCACAGAACAAACAAUCUUAAUAAGAUCCAGCUUAUCCAUGAUUUCUUUCAUGGAUCUUGCAUGUAUUUUUGUAUAUAGUAGAGCAAUACCACAUGCAAAAUGACCUGUGUUAUCUUCUUGAAGGUUUAUAGUUUUCAUUUUAUUGAUAAGUCAUUCAUGUUCUAAUGACCUACUGCUGUCUUAUGAGAAGUGGCCCCAACUCCUACCAUGGCUGCAUUGAAGAUUAAGUUUCUAACACCUGGGCUUUGGGAACACAUUCAAAGAAUGGCCAGAUCACUGAGAAAUCAACCAUUUUCUUUGGACUACAAUAUCAUAACCCAUCAAUAAUUUAUAAUUAUAUUAUUGUGAAAUGUAACAUGCUUAACAAAGUAUAUAAAAGUUAUACAUUGCUGGUGGGAAUGCAAAUUGGUGCAGUCAAUAUGGAAAGCAGUAUGCAAAUUUCUUGGAAAACUUGGAGUUCAACCAACAUUUGAUUCAACUAUCCCACUCCUUGGUUUAUAACUAAAGGACUUAAAAAUAGCAUACUAUAGUGAUACAGUCACAUCAAUGUUUAAAGCAGCACAAUUCACAAUAACUAAAUUGUGGAACCAACUUGGAUACCCUUCAGUAAAUGGAUGGAUAAGGAAAAUAUGAUAUAUAUUCACAGUGAAAUAUUACUCAACAUUAAAAGACAAUAAAAUAAUGGUACUUUCAGGUGAAUGAAUGGAGUUGGAGAAUAUAGUGCUAAGUGAAGUUAGCCAAUACUAAAACACCAAAUGCUGAAUGUUUUCUCUGAUAUAAGGAUGAUAAUUGUGGCAGUGUGGGAGGAAUAGAUAAAUUUUAGACAGG